ensembl:lncRNA
AGGUGGGGCCAAUGGAAUCAAAAGAGUUCUUAAAUGCAGGAAAGGGAGGCAGAAGAAUGAGAGUCAGAGAAGGAGAAGUGAUGUCAGAGGAAAUGUCAGCGUAAUGCAAUGUGAAAAGUAGUCAACCCUCAUUGCUGGCACUGAAGAUGGAGGAAAGUGGCCAAGAGCCAAGGAAUGUGAGCAGCCUGUAGAAGUUAGAAAAGAUGAGGAAAUUGAAGCAUAAGGAACUAAAGUAACUUGCCCAUGUGAAUCUUUGGAGAGAAAACUGUCCCCGGAUGCUUUUGAAUCAGAGCCGAAGGCCACUCAGUUGUUUUUCAGAGCUACGUUGGGAAGAAAGACCAGCAUCAAUCAGCCUGAACCAGACGGAGCCCCACUGCUGGGGCAGCACUUGCGCAGAUGCCCUGGAGAUGACCAAAAGAUGCCCUUUAUUUCAUCUUAAUACUACCUAGGCCUUAUUAGCAUAACAUGCAAUGAUGCAUGUGAGAGCAUGUUUUCUGACUGUGCCUGUGCAGGCUAAUACUGGCCUCUGUGGGUGAUGACAAAACCCCUUUUCAGUAUUCAUUCCCCAUCCAAAAUAAAAGACACUUGCUUCCCUGUGUUUGGGGAGCCAUGACUUUGGAAAUGAUUCCACGUGGUCUCCUAUUUGCUGCAAAUGAAUUCUACUUUGUGUGACAACUACUUCUGGGGGAGGCUCUGAUUUUAACCCUCCAGGAAGCAAACCCACUUUGGUUUGAUAACAUUUUAAUCCAUGACCUUUCCUGACAAGGGUUUGCCAGAUACAAGAACCAAAGUGUCAGGUUUGUGAUGUCUCAGUUCAAAGGCCUCCAUCUAAUUAUAUAGAGGAUACGGAAGAAAGAUGCUGAAUGAACAAUCUCUGAACUAGUUUUUACUUUCACUCCUACCCCAUCAACACUCUCUCUCAGCCCAAGAAAAGCAAAAUAUUCUUUUAGACCAGAGAAGGAGGGGAAGGGUUAGAUGGUGAGAGGGGCUCUGCCCCCUGACCUAACCUCACAGCCUAUCCCUAACCUCAAGCAAGGAAGACAAUGGAGCCCAGACAAGCUUGGGGAUCUGAGAAUUGAGGAGUCUGUUCCUCUCUCAGGCGAGGACUCAGAAGUGGCACCCCUGGUGGCUGGAAAUUCCCUGAGCCACACCGGCAGCAGAUAGAACUGAGGCAGGUGUCCUCAGAAAGGUAAAGGGACACAGCCAAAUCUUCCCUGUGUCCUGAGAGGAGAGUGAAAGACCUUAUUUCAUAAUUUCCAUAUUCUUUUUGAUUGUUUUGUUUCCCACUGUUAAGAAACAUUAUGAUCCACAACCUGGCAUGAAGGAAAUGCAUGACCAGGUGUCUUUGUAAUAUCAUUCAAAGCACUGAAGAACAGACUUGUUAAGGAUUAUUGACUUUUCUAGAGGAUUGUACCUAUGUCUGACUUACUAUUUGUUAUUGGUUGGGAUUCAGACUCGGAAGUUAACGUGUUAACUUGUAGAUGCCUGUCAAAUCUUAGAUUGAAAGCUUAAUUCACACAUUUUCUCUUUUGAUACUAAAGAUAUUGAAAGUUGGCUUUCACCAUAUUUCUGCUUCAAUCAUAUUUUAUAGGUUUUGCUUUUGUUGUCAGCAAUGUUACUAAGCAAGUGUCUAGGCUGGGUCUUGCUGGUUGCCAUGGACACCCUAGAGUGUUAGCUCUUUUACCCAGCAGGCUUUGGGGAUGAUGUCUGUUUCCCUUGCUGUCGCUCAUUUUCUUCCAGUUUCCAUCUUUCAUUCUCUUCUAGCUUGCCCGCUAAAAUACUGCUUCUUCUCCGCAGAUUGCCUGAAGCGUAUUAACUCUUUUACAGAGGAAACUAAGACUGACAUGAAUUCAUUAACCACUGUUAGGCUCAGGUUACCAGCUCUAAUCAUACCUUCUGUCCUCAGGGGAUCUGGAUUGUUUCACAGAAUUCAACAGUACCAAGACACCUUGGGCACAUAUUUAAAAAUAAUGAUCGUAAGACAGACCAAAGAGAAGGCAUUUUAUUAUCCUUGAUGGGAGAGUAAUCAAUGCUUUGACAGAUGGCCAUGUCACCAGUGCCUCUGAAAUGUAGGAUGAAAGCAGAGUAGAGGAAGAGAGUGACGCAGUACGGUUCUUGGAACUUUUAUUCCUGCAGAUCAAUAAACCCCUUACGAUCUACAUCUAAGAAACGCAUGCAGAGCCUUAAAGAGGCACUGGACUCAGAGCAAGAAGAUCCAAAUGAGAGACUUGACCUGAUUUGCCACUUACCAGCCACGUGAGCCUGGAUUUGUCAUUUCACUUUGAGCCUCAGUGUCCUCAUCUGUAUAAUGGGGGGAAAAGAGAGGAAAAGAGAUGGAGCCAAAAUUUAGAGUUUGUGAUUAAAUGACUUACAUCUAAACAACUUAUUAAGAACACCAACAUAGUGGAGGUGGCUUGAACUUCUCACAGCAUGGCAUCUGGGUUCCAAGAGCGUGUUCCAAGAUCAAGCAUUCCAAGAGACUUGGGCAGAAGCUGCAAGCCUUCUUACGACCUGGCCUCAGAGGUCUUAGAAGGUCAUUUCCAAUGCAUCUCACUGGUCAACAAGUCACAAAGAUCAGCCUAGAUUCAUAUCCUCUCCACCUCUUGAUAUGAGGAGCAGAGGGAAAGAACUGAUGGCAGUCGUCUUUGGGAACUAUCACAAUAUUCAUACUUCAGGUUGUGCAAUGUCCAGUGACCUCUACAACAUAAAUGUCUGAAGCUUUAUAAACAGAAAGGAGAGAAAGCUCAGGCAGUUUGUCCAAAUUCAUAUAAUUUGAUAGAACCUAUUCUAAAAGUCAUGUUUCUUUUGGUAAAUGAUUGUGGAUCUUCCAAUGAGAGUUAAAUAAAGGUGAAAAUGCUAAUAAAUUUCCUCACUACAUCAGGAACAUACUCCCCACAUUUCUGACCAAAGUUACAAAUAUAUCUGGUCAGUUCAGAGAAACACCCAAAUACACGACAAAGACAUCUCAUUCCUUGCCCCUACAUAGAAAAAGUAUCUUAAUCAUCAGGUGCUCUUAUAAUUUUUUAAGUUUGUUUAUCCCUUAAUAACAUUGCCAAAUAAAAUACACUAUGUCUACUUAAAUCUGAAUUUCAAAUAAACAACAAAUAAUUCUUUAGUAUAAGUAUGUUCCAAUU